CCUUAAGGUUUCUUUGUAGUUGAAUUCUCUUCCAAUAGCUUCCAAACAAACGUGGAAAAUCUCUUUUUCUCUCUCUAAAACCUCCAACUAGUGAGAGAAAGUGCUGAACAAGGACUUUUUGAGGGUUUUAAAGUGAGAGAGUGAAAGAGCACAAGGGUUCUAGUCAAAAGGGCACAAAAGUAUGAAAAUUAGAGCUAGAAAGAGAAAGUUGUGAAAGUUUCAUAUCAAGCUUCCAUGGAGGAUGGAAGCAACAUGAGAUGGAAG
rnacentral:lncRNA from 1 species